UAAGAAUACGUAUACAUGCCGGUACAUCCUAUACUUUCAUAUUUAUAUUUACCAAAUUAGCGCUUGUGUGUUGAGGAAUAUUAUAACAGUCAAAAGAAGCAUUUAUUACUCGUACAGAUAAUGUUCUCACUAAAAAAUUAAAAUUAGUUAUUGUCAACAAAUCAGAUGGAUUGCCUGUAGAGAUUUUUGUCAACAAAUCUCGUUUAACUUGUUGAUAAUACAAUUCUUCCAUGGAUCAAGCGGCGCAGCAGCACCCCGAUAGCAAGUAUCAUAAAUACUGCAACAAACAUGAUGCACACACAAGAAUCCGAGAACGGUAUAAUUUGUGAAAUUAUACAUAUUUUCUUAGUUUUAGACAAACCGACGGCGCAAGCAACUUUCCGAGCGCAAUAGUCUACAAAAUAAUUGUUCACGCAUUCUUAUUCUCAUCAAAUUUGUGACCUUGGAGAUGUUUGUAAAAGUACAAAUGCAAACUUUUGUAUCGCACUCGCCUGCGUCAGUCAUCAUUAACAAUGAUGCCCGUAAGCACCAAAGCGAACAGUACAAUUACACGUUUCGACAUUGUACUGUUAACAGAUAAUAUUUCAAUCACAUUCACAAUAAAAGGUGUUACAAUUUA